rnacentral:tRNA from 1 species
UUCAUGGCACAGUUGGUUAGCGCACAGCUCUCAUAAGGCUGGAGUCCCGAGUUCGAGUCUCGGUGA